rnacentral:rRNA from 1 species
GUAAUACAUCGGAACGUACCCAGUAGCGGGGGAUAGCCCGGCGAAAGCCGGAUUAAUACCGCAUACGCCCUACGGGGGAAAGGGGGGGAUCGUAAGACCUCUCACUAUUGGAGCGGCCGAUGGCUGAUUAGCUAGUUGGUGGGGUAAAGGCCUACCAAGGCAACGAUCAGUAGCUGGUCUGAGAGGACGACCAGCCACACUGGGACUGAGACACGGCCCAGACUCCUACGGGAGGCAGCAGUGGGGAAUUUUGGACAAUGGGCGAAAGCCUGAUCCAGCAAUGCCGCGUGUGCGAAGAAGGCCUUCGGGUUGUAAAGCACUUUUGUCAGAGAAGAAAUCGUUCGGGCUAAUACCUCGGGCAGUUGACGGUACCUGAAGAAUAAGCACCGGCUAACUACGUGCCAGCAGCCGCGGUAAUACGUAGGGUGCAAGCGUUAAUCGGAAUUACUGGGCGUAAAGCGUGCGCAGGUGGUUCGUUAAGACAGUUGUGAAAUCCCCGGGCUUAACCUGGGAACUGCAAUUGUGACUGGCGGACUAGAGUUUGGCAGAGGGGGGUGGAAUUCCUGGUGUAGCAGCGAAAUGCGUAGAUAUCAGGAGGAACACCGAUGGCGAAGGCAGCCCCCUGGGCCAUGACUGACACUCACGCA